rnacentral:rRNA from 1 species
CAGCGCCGCGGUAAUACGGAGGAUCCAAGCGUUAUCCGGAAUCAUUGGGUUUAAAGGGUCCGUAGGCGGUCUUGUAAGUCAGUGGUGAAAGCCCAUCGCUCAACGGUGGAACGGCCAUUGAUACUGCAGGACUUGAAUUAUUGGGAAGUAACUAGAAUAUGUAGUGUAGCGGUGAAAUGCUUAGAGAUUACAUGGAAUACCAAUUGCGAAGGCAGGUUACUACCAAUUGAUUGACGCUGAUGGACGAAAGCGUGGGUAGCGAACAGGAUUAGAUACCCCCGUAGUCCCUGUCUCUUAUACA